AUCCAGCUGAUGUAUCCCAAAUUGGACGAAACGCGAGUUCUGAAU
rfam:Schistosoma mansoni strain Puerto Rico chromosome 2, complete genome